rnacentral:rRNA from 1 species
AAAUUGAAGAGUUUGAUCAUGGCUCAGAUUGAACGCUGGCGGCAGGCCUAACACAUGCAAGUCGAACGGUAACAGGAAACAGCUUGCUGUUUCGCUGACGAGUGGCGGACGGGUGAGUAAUGUCUGGGAAACUGCCUGAUGGAGGGGGAUAACUACUGGAAACGGUAGCUAAUACCGCAUAAUGUCGCAAGACCAAAGAGGGGGACCUUCGGGCCUCUUGCCAUCGGAUGUGCCCAGAUGGGAUUAGCUAGUAGGUGGGGUAACGGCUCACCUAGGCGACGAUCCCUAGCUGGUCUGAGAGGAUGACCAGCCACACUGGAACUGAGACACGGUCCAGACUCCUACGGGAGGCAGCAGUGGGGAAUAUUGCACAAUGGGCGCAAGCCUGAUGCAGCCAUGCCGCGUGUAUGAAGAAGGCCUUCGGGUUGUAAAGUACUUUCAGCGGGGAGGAAGGGAGUAAAGUUAAUACCUUUGCUCAUUGACGUUACCCGCAGAAGAAGCACCGGCUAACUCCGUGCCAGCAGCCGCGGUAAUACGGAGGGUGCAAGCGUUAAUCGGAAUUACUGGGCGUAAAGCGCACGCAGGCGGUUUGUUAAGUCAGAUGUGAAAUCCCCGGGCUCAACCUGGGAACUGCAUCUGAUACUGGCAAGCUUGAGUCUCGUAGAGGGGGGUAGAAUUCCAGGUGUAGCGGUGAAAUGCGUAGAGAUCUGGAGGAAUACCGGUGGCGAAGGCGGCCCCCUGGACGAAGACUGACGCUCAGGUGCGAAAGCGUGGGGAGCAAACAGGAUUAGAUACCCUGGUAGUCCACGCCGUAAACGAUGUCGACUUGGAGGUUGUGCCCUUGAGGCGUGGCUUCCGGAGCUAACGCGUUAAGUCGACCGCCUGGGGAGUACGGCCGCAAGGUUAAAACUCAAAUGAAUUGACGGGGGCCCGCACAAGCGGUGGAGCAUGUGGUUUAAUUCGAUGCAACGCGAAGAACCUUACCUGGUCUUGACAUCCACAGAACUUUCCAGAGAUGGAUUGGUGCCUUCGGGAACUGUGAGACAGGUGCUGCAUGGCUGUCGUCAGCUCGUGUUGUGAAAUGUUGGGUUAAGUCCCGCAACGAGCGCAACCCUUAUCCUUUGUUGCCAGCGGUCCGGCCGGGAACUCAAAGGAGACUGCCAGUGAUAAACUGGAGGAAGGUGGGGAUGACGUCAAGUCAUCAUGGCCCUUACGACCUGGGCUACACACGUGCUACAAUGGCGCAUACAAAGAGAAGCGACCUCGCGAGAGCAAGCGGACCUCAUAAAGUGCGUCGUAGUCCGGAUUGGAGUCUGCAACUCGACUCCAUGAAGUCGGAAUCGCUAGUAAUCGUGGAUCAGAAUGCCACGGUGAAUACGUUCCCGGGCCUUGUACACACCGCCCGUCACACCAUGGGAGUGGGUUGCAAAAGAAGUAGGUAGCUUAACCUUCGGGAGGGCGCUUACCACUUUGUGAUUCAUGACUGGGGUGAAGUCGUAACAAGGUAACCGUAGGGGAACCUGCGGUUGGAUCACCUCCUUACCUUAAAGAAGC